UACGUAGGUGGCGAGCGUUGUCCGGAUUUAUUGGGCGUAAAGCGCGCGCAGGCGGUCUUUUAAGUCUGAUGUGAAAUCUCGUGGCUCAACCACGAACGGUCAUUGGAAACUGGGAGACUUGAGUACAGAAGAGGAGAGUGGAAUUCCACGUGUAGCGGUGAAAUGCGUAGAGAUGUGGAGGAACACCAGUGGCGAAGGCGACUCUCUGGUCUGUAACUGACGCUGAGGCGCGAAAGCGUGGGGAGCGAACAGG
rnacentral:rRNA from 1 species